rnacentral:rRNA from 1 species
AGAGCUGAGAGUUUGAUCCUGGCUCAGGACGAACGCUGGCGGCGUGCUUAACACAUGCAAGUUGGACGACGAUUGCCGGAAGUAGAGAUACGGAAGGCAAAGCGGAGUAGCGGACGGGUGAGUACAACAUGAGAAGCUAUCCCAUAAAGGGGGACAACGUUUGGAAACGGACGCUAAUACCCCAUAGGCCGAGAGGUUAAAGCGCGUAAGUGCGAUAUGGGAGGUGCUCGUGCCCUAUCAGCUAGUUGGUGAGGUAAGGGCUCACCAAGGCGACGACGGGUAGCCGGCCUGAGAGGGCGAACGGCCACACUGGAACUGAGAUACGGUCCAGACUCCUACGGGAGGCAGCAGUGGGGAAUAUUGGGCAAUGGGAGAAAUCCUGACCCAGCAACGCCGCGUGAACGAAGAAGGCCUUUGGGUCGUAAAGUUCUUUUGUACGGGAAGAAGGAAGUGACGGUACCGUACGAAUAAGCCCCGGCUAACUACGUGCCAGCAGCCGCGGUAAUACGUAGGGGGCGAGCGUUGUCCGGAAUUACUGGGCGUAAAGGGCACGCAGGCGGUGACGUAAGUCGGCUGUAAAAAGAUGCGGCUUAACCGUAUUUAGCAGUCGAAACUGCGAUACUGGAGUACCGAAGAGGCAAGUGGAAUUCCCAGUGUAGCGGUGAAAUGCGUAGAUAUUGGGAAGAACACCGGUGGCGAAGGCGGCUUGCUGGUCGGUAACUGACGCUCAUGUGCGAAAGCCAGGGGAGCAAACGGGAUUAG